GAUGGUGAGGGCAGUCUGACUGUGACAUCUGUUACCCUGUUGGCUAUGUAAGUGGCUCUUCUCACCUUGUCAUGUACAUUUUUCCUAAAGUAUUGCCCUUGGCUAAAGAAGAUGUCCUAUUUAGAUCACAGAGGGCUAUUCUUUAUUUAAGGUAUCUGAAUUAGAAUCUUAUAUCCAAGGUACAUAAUUAUGCAGUUUUCUGAGGGGUAGUCUAUUUUAGGCAGUAGCUACUUUAUACUAAAUUAAGCCUAUUUGAAAUAGGCAGCCCAUUUUU
ensembl:misc_RNA 7SK 7SK RNA